rnacentral:rRNA from 1 species
GACGAACGCUGGCGGCGUGCUUAACACAUGCAAGUCGAACGGAAAGGCCCUGCUUUUGUGGGGUGCUCGAGUGGCGAGCGGGUGAGUAACACGUGAGUAACCUGCCCUUGACUUAGGGAUAACUUCAGGAAACUGGGGCUAAUACCGGAUAGGAGCUCCUGCUGCAUGGUGGGGGUUGGAAAGUUUCGGCGGUUGGGGAUGGACUCGCGGCUUAUCAGCUUGUUGGUGGGGUAGUGGCUUACCAAGGCUUUGACGGGUAGCCGGCCUGAGAGGGUGACCGGCCACAUUGGGACUGAGAUACGGCCCAGACUCCUACGGGAGGCAGCAGUGGGGAAUAUUGCACAAUGGGCGGAAGCCUGAUGCAGCAACGCCGCGUGCGGGAUGACGGCCUUCGGGUUGUAAACCGCUUUCGCCUGUGACGAAGCGUGAGUGACGGUAAUGGGUAAAGAAGCACCGGCUAACUACGUG